rnacentral:lncRNA from 1 species
UGGCUGUUGUAUGUGUUCUUCUGAGCUCUUCCCCUCUGGGAUCCACAGCCUCAGCACUUCCUUCCCUUUCUCCUGGGCAGCAGCAGCAUUUCUGUCCUACUGGUAACCAUAGGCAGCAUGGCUGUUUGCUUCUCUGUGGACGGGGAUUGCCCACACCUGGGCAGCUGCCUGGCUGCUCUCUGGAGUAGACAUUUUCUGAUACCAACCUGACCCUCCUUGGCACAAGGUGAGACCAGGACCUCCCAUGAAGAUGAAGGGGAGGAAGAGUGGGGUGCACCACCAUGCACACCCCAUUGACAGAACCACCUGGGAGUCUUCGUGGUCCAGCAUUGUGCAGUUAUUGUGCAUUGUCCUUGUAGACUCACUUCAGCAGUAACCUUGCACCACUGUGCAUUUUGCUGGCACACUGACAAUCCCAGUGAGCAGCUGCAGUUCCAUGGUGGCUACAUUAGGAAUGUAGCUUCUGCAGCCAUCACUGUGGCCAUCAGCAGCGGAUGUCUGCUGUGCAGAGGGAAAUGGGUGCCAAAAGCAAGCACCUGGGCAUGGAAAGCUGGUUUCUGUUACUGUAAGUGAACACCUUUAGUUUGUAAAUGCAAGAAAACUGGAGAAGUUUAUGAAAGAAGAUGAAGGAUGGGGUACCAGGAGACAAAAGACUCAUCGCCUUGCAGGAAAGAGAUGAAUACAGAAGAAGAAGAGGAGAUGGAUUGAAGCUCGUUUUGAAGGCAGAAGGAACCAUCCCCAGGUCAGCUUCCUGUACUUCCAAUGACAUUUAUAGAAGUGAACAGAGAAAAUGCAGCUGCCUGAUGCCCUGGGCCCUGCCAGCAUCCAGAUGUGGGCACCAUCAGAAGGAAAGCAGCCCCUCAGCCCAAUGAUGCCCAGGACCACCCCAGGGCUGCGGCAUUGCACACCCAGCGCAUGGCUCAGCACAGCUCCUGUUGGGUUCUGACUCAGCGUGUGCAAGGCAAAUAAGAUGGGGGGAAUUUGAAUGACUUUUUUCAUCAAUCAGACUUUGGAUGGGAACAGCUCCCUUUCUUUCCAUUUGUAAUCCGUGAGAGGAAACGCUGAGGAAAUCCACGUGUUUCUGUUCCAGCCCUGAAGUGAGACACUCACAAGGACCAACUUUGCAGGAAGGUGGUGAGGAACUGAAUAGCUGUGGGCAGCAGGUGUGGUGCUUUAUCUGUAUGUACAAAGCUGACAUAGAGCGAGCAGCAGCCUGGCAACUCAGCAGAGCCUGCUAGGGUGGAGCCCAGAUCUGUGAUGCUUAAUGAAUUCUUCGUGCUUAAUGAAUCACAGCGUGCCCGUGGUGUGCUACUCGGUGGUUGGAGUGAGGGGAAGGCUGAAGGAAACUUCCCAUAGGGGUGGGAGGAAUGGCAGCAGUGCAGCAGAUGGAGUGCUCUGCUGACAUGCAAAGCAGCGCGCAUUAAAAGGAGUAAUGUGAAGUGUAACUCACUGGUGAGCUCUAAAUUAGCUGUAGUAAUGACAAAGACAUGGGCAUCACUGUGGAGAGUUAAUAAAAGUAUCUGCUGAGUAGGCA